rnacentral:rRNA from 1 species
GCACGGGUGAGUAACACGUGGGUAAUCUGCCUAGAGAUGGGGAAUAACUCCUCGAAAGAGGAGCUAAUACCGCAUAAGACCACAGCUGCUACGGCAGCAGGGGUUAAAAGUGAUCACUGUUUACAAAUUAUUGUCUCUAGAUGAGCCUGCGCACUAUUAGCUAGUUGGUGGGGUAAUGGCCCACCAAGGCUACGAUAGUUAGCUGGUCUGAGAGGAUGAUCAGCCACACUGGAACUGAGACACGGUCCAGACUCCUACGGGAGGCAGCAGUAGGGAAUAUUGCUCAAUGGGGGAAACCCUGAAGCAGCAACGCCGCGUGAGUGAUGAAGGCCUUCGGGUCGUAAAGCUCUGUUGUACGGGGAGAAUGCGGAUGUGGCUAAUAUCCACAUCCAGUGACAGUACCGUAUAAGAAAGGACCGGCUAACUUCGUGCCAGCAGCCGCGGUAAGACGGGGGGUCCAAGCGUUGUUCGGAAUCAUUGGGCGUAAAGCGUGUGCAGGUGGUUUUGUAAGUUAGAUGUGAAAGCCUCGGGCUUAACCCGAGAAGUGCAUUUAAAACUGCAGAACUUGAGUAAGGAAGAGGGUCGUGGAAUUCCAGGUGUAGUGGUGAAAUACGUAGAUAUCUGGAGGAACACCGGUGGCGA